rnacentral:rRNA from 1 species
GACGAACGCUGGCGGCGUGCUUAACACAUGCAAGUCGAGCGAUGAAGUUCCUUCGGGAAUGGAUUAGCGGCGGACGGGUGAGUAACACGUGGGUAACCUGCCUCAUAGAGGGGAAUAGCCUUUCGAAAGGAAGAUUAAUACCGCAUAAGAUUGUAGUACCGCAUGGUACAGCAAUUAAAGGAGUAAUCCGCUAUGAGAUGGACCCGCGUCGCAUUAGCUAGUUGGUGAGGUAACGGCUCACCAAGGCGACGAUGCGUAGCCGACCUGAGAGGGUGAUCAGCCACAUUGGGACUGAGACACGGCCCAGACUCCUACGAGAGGCAGCAGUGGGGAAUAUUGCACAAUGGGGGAAACCCUGAUGCAGCAACGCCGCGUGAGUGAUGACGGUCUUCGGAUUGUAAAGCUCUGUCUUCAGGGACGAUAAUGACGGUACCUGAGGAGGAAGCCACGGCUAACUACGUGCCAGCCGCCGCCGUAACAC